ensembl:lncRNA
GAAGAUUCAGCUGGAUCCUGCCCUUCAACCAAGCACAGAUACAUCUUCUUUUCAGUUCUUAGCUCUUGAAUUAGGCAGUCAUUAUUGCAGCGGAGGAAGAUAAAUAGGAGCAAAUCCUCUUAUUUUUGAUGUUUUUUUUUCUCCUUUCAGCCAGCUAUAGACUGUGAAUAACCUAGUAUAUGAACCAAGAAAAGCUAGGGAGAGGGGUUAGGGAAGGAGGAGAAAUAGCGUGCUCUGGGCGCUCCUCAAGAGAAGCUGAAGUUGCCGGGCUGUUUCAAGAGCACUUCUGUAUUUGCAUUAACAACAGCCCUUCCCCUGUGAAGAACAUUUGCAAUCCUUGAAAUGUUUGUUGUUCAGCUGGGCUAGCUAACAGCUGUAUUGAGCAAAGUGCCAUGUGACGACCAGUGCAUUCCUGAGCGAUUAUCAUAUACUGCCAACGACUGCUCCAUGUCUACGUUGCUGUAGUAUGCGAACGGUCCACAGCACAGCAAAGGAGAAAAAGAAACUUGCAAUCAGAGUGGAAUCACAGAAACAUUAAGGUUGGAAAAGACCACUAAGAUCAUCAUGUCCAACCACCAGCCCAUCCCUACCGUGCCCACUGACCCAUGUCCCUCAGUGCCACACUGCCACAGCGCUUGACUAUGUGAAAUUGUUAUAGAGGGUACAAAGCAAGGAAGAGAUAGUUCUUCUUUCCCCCCUCAUUUUGAGUCUGUACCUCCUUUCCGACAGGAGAGCCUUCAGUCUGUGUAGGUGUGUGCCGUGCUGUGGAGGAAUUAGAGAUUUUCUCCCAGAAAUAAUCUGGAGAAAACUGACCCAUUUUUUUCAUUGGUAAAUGGACUCUGCCAAAGUCCAAAUGUUCUAUGGAAGCACUGCAGUGUUAGAGGAUGGACGUGUGCUGCUACAGCAUCCUCUGCUUGCUCUGGUCAGUGCCCGACUGCCUUGUUUUGGUGAGAUGAAGGCAUUUCAUUUCAGCCUGCCAUGUUCCUGUUACUUUUCACUUUGUUUACACUGAUGGUAGUGUUAAUAGUAAACCCCACCAACGGUAGUAGUGACUUACUUCAUGAUAUCAUUAGAGAAGUGAGGUAUUUCCACAACUGUGAGUUCAUCCAUGGCAUUCAGUGGUAUGGUGGUGAUGGGUUGAUGGCUGGUCUAGAUGAUCUUGGUGGUCUUUCCAACUUAAUGAUUCCAUGACUGUAGGAUUCUAUGGCUUAGACUGACUGGAUGGUGCUCCCUGUUUAAUGCAGCACUCUGCCCUGCUAUGAGCUUUCUUACUAAUGUCAGACACACAGGGAGGAAUGAAUUACCGCAGUUUGUUAAUAAAAAUAGUUUUAGCCCUU